ensembl:lncRNA
CUUGGUGUUGUUAACAUUUAGGACACAAUUUGGGAUUGGGAAGUAAACAAGCUGGGCUUCUGAGCACUCCUGUUGGCUUUCACAUAACCUUUUCACCCAAACGGUGAUCUUCCUAGGCCUUCCUUCAUUCAGACACUUGUUGCUUUAUCUAUGCUUAUUAAGGGGCAUAUAUUAUCGGGUAAUAAUUAAAGAAAAUUAGAAUUAGCUUAUUAGAAGGAGAAUUGAGAAAAGGAGGAUUUGUUAGAUGCAGACAAAUGACAUCAGAAAUGAUAGCUGGUAGUCUGAUAUUUUGGGAAAAUAUAAACCUGAAAAAUUCAUAACUGCAUUUCUCUUGGUAAAUAUAGUCUCUGGAGCACCUACUAUGUGUCAGGUGCUUUUCCAUAAUCAUCUAACUUCAUUCCAUGAUUUAGGCAUCAAUAUUCCCAUUCUAUAGAUGAGCAAAUUCAAGCUGAGAUGUAAAUUGACAAAACCAUCACAGCUAGUAAGUGGCAGUUCCAGAAUUUUCCCAUGGUCUGUCUGACUCCUACGUCAUGAUGUCAUUCUGUUUUACCAUGCCACCUCCUUGUGCUGCAGUGGGUAUCCAUGAGCUUGUGUCUUCCAAGAAAAAAUUAAGUUCUAUGGCUUCAACUUAAGGAAGUAAAAAAGCAACGUGUCUUCAAAGAAUUACCUUGAAAUUAAAAGAUGGAUUUUUUGGUGUCAGGACAUGAACACUUAAGCUAUUUGGAAAACUAGUUAUGUGGAACACCUGAUUCCACAAUGAGGCAAGAUAAAUUCUUUCAACAUAAUCCUGACAUCACAGUUUUAGGAAACUUGACUCCUGGAUUAGAUUUUUCUCAAAUUAAAAAAUUUCCCCAUGAGAUAUAUGUAUUCAUUCAUUCACUCGCUUCAUUUAACAAACGUUGAGUGACUAUUAUGUACACAGAAACACUAUCAUGGCUCUUGAGAAUUCUACCAAAUCAAGAAAUCAAACAAAACAGAAUACAAAAAAAAAAUUAAAAGCUUAAUUUCUGUAUAAUUUGGGCAAAUGCUGCAAUAGCUCUCCUCUUCCUUCAUCUCAUCCUGCUGGUUGCUCCCAGAGCUAUUUUUUUCUAAAACCCUCAUCUGAUGGUGUCACUUCCUGGUUGCAAACCUCUGACUACUGUUGCCUAUUAAGUAACUCUUGGCCCUUCAGAACCUGCCGUCACCUGCCUUUUCUGUCUCCUCUGGAGCUGCCCUCCACCAGAGCUCAGCUAUCCUGAACUGCUCACUCCUCCCCAAAGAUGCCAGGCACUUGCCAUCUCCAAGCCUGUCCUCUUGCUGCUUCCUCCCGGGCGUGUCCUGGGCGUGUCCUGCCCUUUCUCAUUCACCGAGUGAGUCUCUAGUCAUCGUUCAGGAUCCUACUGAAAUGGUGUUCCUCCUCUGCUGCUUUUCCUGACGACCUGCUCCAACCUAGCAGAAAAGAAAAAGAAAGUUCAUCUUCCCAGAGCACUUCAUGUUACAGCAUUUGAUAUAGUAAUAAUGUAAUAUAAAAUUAUUUUCAUCUUUUUCUGACUAGAGUACAAAUCCUUCCAGAAUACAACUGUAUUUUGUUUGUCUUUGUACCUUAGUCCAGGACACUGGCACAUACUUGGCUAUCUAGAAAGGCUGGGUGAAGAGAAUAGAAUAGAAGCGGGGGAGUAGGUAAGUGCUAUGGUAAGAGGGACUAAUUUUUCAGAAAUGGUUGGCGGAGGCUUCCCAGCGGGUUGUCUGUAUGUCAGCCCUGAAGAAUGAGUAGAAUUCAGCAGACAAUAAUGAGCGGGUCUCGGAGGUGAGGAGAGGGUUUCACAGCAGAGAGGGCUGUGUGUCUGAAGACUUGAGAAGGAGUAGCCUGGUUGGACAUUGCAAAUAAACUAGUGUCUUUAGAGUUUAGCAUACGUAAGAAUGGAGCAGAGCAGGCUCAGAGCGUGGGAUGGCUUCGUAUUGUGAUGAGCCUGCAGGUGUGGGGAUUUCAUUCUCCGGUGCAGAUCUUUGGGGAGCCACUGGACUUGUGGCAGUCACACAGGUUGCUGUGGUUGUGUGGGCGAUGAAUGGACUCAGAGAGGCUUAUUGGGAGAUGCUGGCACAGUUGGAAGGAGAGACAAAGGCCUGUCUAAGGCGGGCUGCGGAGAUGCUCACCUGUUCCUGUGACCUCUGGGGCUAUACCGGAAGUGUCCAGCUUAGCCUGCUUCUUACGAGAUGUUUUGAUUUGGCUGCGCUCUGAUAGUAGCGGCACAGCGGGGAGCACCUGAAGUGAUGAAUAACCUAAUCUCCUAAUCUCAAAAUGGGCACUAGUCACAGCCAGCCUGGGAGAGGCCGGUGGAACAAACCACACUUCACAGCCACGGCCACUAAGAAGAAUGCAACAAAAACAACAACCCAAACAACAACAACAACAACAACAACAACAACAAAAUAACCAGCAGCCCAGCCAGCCACCCUGCCACUGGGCCUUUUAAUAAUAAAGAAAUGAAAUGCACAUCUCUAAUGAAUGCUCUUUCAUCCCCUGUGAUCUCACAGGGCUAGAUUCUAAUCUGAGAGGCACCUUCCACUCUUCUCAGCAAAACUUACAAGACAAAAGGCUAUAAAAAUGAUUGCACUUGCAUUAGUGCUGUUAGGACUCCGGUAUUUAUGAGACAUUAUGUAUGCACAAGAACCCUUGCUAAUUUGCCACGUUUCAUGCACACCUGGAAUGAUCUGCCACACGUAUACAUUUUUUUUCCUUCUUAAUUUCCGAAGAAAGCCUACCACAACAGGAAACUGUUCAUUUUGUAGCAUAAGCCCCAUGUUCUCUAAAGCUGCCUAGGUGUAAUUAAGCAUCUACAUUUACUUCUGCGCGUGGGGAACAAUGGUCUGGCUCCUUGGAGAGGUCAAGCAGGAUUUAUUUUAUUGUGUACAGAGUCAGAGCAAUGAAGGAGGCUGUCAAGAUAGUAACUGGUCAUUCCUCUGCCAGUUAUGUGGCCCUCUCUAUGUAAGAGCAAGGCUGUGUUUUGUCCCCCCUCUGAUUUACUUCCCUUUUUUCAUGGGAUCAUUGCUACAAAACUAUUAGUUAAUACCCUGCUGUAAGGAAAAUAAGUCCUGAGGAAAAUAUGCUAUGCAUGUAUGCCUUCCCUACCCCCAAAUUGCUUGAUUGCAGCAAGCUCACUUUUUGAUUAAUGCAAUUUUGCAUAAGGUAAUAUUACACGAGUGUAUUACUUUUCAGUAAUUAUUCAAUGGAGUUAAUAUGGCAGACUUCUUGAAGAAAAAUUAGAACCGUGGCGUCUCAUUUCUCUAAAUCCCCAGCACUGUUCAGUAGGGUAACAAUAAUAAUUAUGUAUAAAUAAAUAAAUUUCUUUUAUCAAUGUUCACGAGGGCUGGAAAUAACGGGCAGCCUCAUCCCCAAUCAGAACGCUCACGGUUGUACUUUUUAAUUAGCAGUGUUCCGAGGGGCAGAAAUGAUUUUAUGUGCAGUUUUGUUAUGCUGCAGUUGGGGAGAGUGACACAGUGAUUUGUUAUAACAAGGAUCUUUGCAGUUUAAUCAUUGUAUAAAAUUAUGUGUGCUGUUUUGCUUUCGCUUUCCCCUGCACCUUUGGGUUUGAGCCACUCCAAAACGGAGGACAGGCAAGACUCCCUUUCCUAAAGCAAUUUUCUCUCCUCUAGGUCCGAUUUCACGUGAGCAUCAUUUUAAACUCCAGCAAGAUGUGGUUCUGUUUAACUAGCCCUUGCUUACAGGGGUCCCAUGCCUACUCUUAUGUUUCCUUACCAUGAUACAUACUUUGCGGUGCAUUUUUCUCACUAAUCAUGGUUUAGCAAACAAGGAAGGAGAGGGCCGCGUUUUAUGAAACUUUCUGAAGAGUGAUGUUCAGUUUAUUUCAGUCUUUAGUAUACUAGAAUGUACAAUUGCUCUGAAGAUAAAUAAAAGAUUCCGCGGGUGCCACUGGAGAGCAGAGCAGCAUGUCUUUGCCGUUGCUGGAGACUUAUCUGAUUUGGAUUUGUAUACCUCAUGGGGAAUGGCAAAAUAUUGGAACAGACGG